CCCACCGCCUCCUUACUACUACAAAUCUCCACCCCCACCAUCCCCAUCACCCCCUCCUCCUUACUACUACAAGUCUCCACCACCACCGUCUCCCUCACCUCCUCCACCAUACUACUACAAGUCUCCACCUCCUCCGUCGCCAUCUCCACCACCACCAUACUACUACAAAUCUCCCACACCACCAUCAUCGUCACCGCCACCUCCUUACCACUACAAGUCUCCCCCACCACCAUCACCAUCUCCACCACCACCAUACUACUACAAGACCCCUCCUCCUCCNNNNNNNNNNNNNNNNNNNNNNNNNNNNNNNNNNNNNNNNNNNNNNNNNNNNNNNNNNNNNNNNNNNNNNNNNNNNNNNNNNNNNNNNNNNCCACCACCACCAUACUACUACAAAUCUCCCCCACCACCAUCUCCCUCACCUCCACCACCGUACUACUACAAGUCUCCACCACCACCAUCACCUUCACCACCACCACCAUACUACUACAAAUCUCCACCACCUCCUUCCCCAUCACCGCCACCUCCUUACCACUACAAGUCUCCCCCACCACCAUCACCAUCUCCACCACCACCAUACUACUACAAGUCCCCUCCUCCUCCCUCACCGUCUCCACCACCACCAUACUACUACAAAUCCCCACCACCACCGUCGUCAUCACCCCCUCCUCCAUACCACUACAGCUCACCUCCCCCACCGGUGAAAUCACCACCACCACCGGCAUACAUCUAUUCAUCUCCCCCACCACCAGCCCACUACUAGGCUCAAACGCCUCGGCAACAAACCACCAAUGUAAGUUUCUAUUACUCCUCUCAAUUCCAUCAAAACGCUAUAGCAAUUCAUUCAUACGUUAUUACAGCUUUCCUAACAGUACUACUUUCCCAUUUCAGAUUUAAGAAUUGACAAUGUAAUAAAAGAAGGCUCCAAUCAUGGUCUGAUAAACCCAAUAUCAUCAAUUAGUGCCAAUAAUAACAACAGCCGAUAUGGCUCAGUAUGCAGAGUUGCGAUCCUGCACAUGGCAAUGUUGCUGUGUUCAUCAUCAUCAAGUGGGGUACUGUUGUUCAAGAAGAGACGACAUUUGGGAAAUUAAGCAACUAUUCUUAGUUAGUUAUCGGAGUUGAUGAUCAAUUGGGUUUUUCAGAGUUAUUUGUUUAGUUGAUGUAUGUAUGUAAAAUCUAUUUGUUAUUUAGUUUUCCAGCUUUGAUUUUUUUGUUGGGGAGGAUUUGGGAAAUGCGUGCGUACUUUUGUUCUUAUAUUAUAUAAAUUAUUAUUAAAUGUUUUAUGUUUGGGGGAAGCAACGUAAAUUUGAUGUAAUUGUAAUUUUUUAUUGGAGCUUCUUGUACUUCAAUUUGUCCCGCCUCCCGAUUGUGAGUAAUCAAGUAAAGCCAUUUCAUAUUUCUAAUUUUUGGUUCAAUUUCGGCCGAAAUUCGCAUUCAAGUCGGAAUUAGUGAUUUCAUCCCAACUAAAAAUGGAUUGAUGAGCCUGACUUAGUUGGAAGUGGACUCAUAUCAUAUCAUUUUUGUCCGAAUAAAGUAUCCGAAUGAAUUGGACGAGCAUAUGCAGUUAACUUGGUCCAAUUUCGACUUUAAUUCUUGUCCAAAUAACAUCACCUUAUUCUUCUUCAGAUUGUGAGCAGUAAAAAGUUACUUUUGAAACGGAAAAUAAUUAACCAAUGAAUAAUUAUUUAUUUUGGUAUUACUUUCGAAAUGUAAAUUUUGUAAUUAUCAUUUCUUACGGUUAAAAAAAACAUGUUAUUAUAUAUUCACAAAUAAACUUCACUUAGCUUAAAUCUGGACUACAUCACUAUUGAUUAAGACAAAUCUUUGCGUUGCUUAAAUCGUCUCGAAAUUUGAAUCGGACCGACCAACCAGCUAUAACACCCGGGGAGGUUAAUUUGUUGCAUGCAUCAGAUGACUUGUCUUGUUGGCAUACAUAUGUAUAUCAACUAGGGAAACAGCUUGCAGCAGAGAAAGUCACAGUUAACUCUGGUGAGCAAAACAACAAUCAUUUAGUGGGAGGAGUUGAAAUCCUAAUUUAAUCACGAUGAAUCCUCGUCAUUAAUCUGAUCAGUAGCUACUUACUUUAGAGAAAAUGACGACCGAGGGAGCAGGUGAAUUCCACAGUUGGAACGUCUCUAUCGACAUUUACGUACAUCUGCUUAUUUAAUAUAUGAUUCCACCUGGCUUACCAGUUAUUCCAAUCUUCAAAAGUAACUUGUUUGCCAUAAAAAAUCUAGACAGUGGCUUUGAUUUUUUAUCUAUUCUGUAGAAAAUUUUCAAAUGAUAAUGUUGCUGCUCAUUGCUAUUUUCGAACUAAUAAUUACCCACUUUCCUGCUGGUGGCUGAUGGGAACUGGGCCUCAAUCCAGCUUAUCACGCCUAUAAAGGUUCUACGCCCCACAAGGAACAAUCCAGCAGACUCUCGCCCAAGAUUUUGCGCCUUCUAGUGACCGGUUUCGACCGAUCAUGCACCCGUUCGGGAGAUAUUUCGGUCCCAGGUGUCCGUAUGUGGUUGGUAGUUCGCCACAUAUGUCAACUUGACUCGCAGACCAAGCUACAUUCAAUUCCUACGUUAGGCCUGAGAUUCGGUUCUGGCCUGGGUUAUUUGUAACCAGCUAAAUUGGAUAACCGGAUUACUAAAAUUAUUGAUCGAUCCCGGACUGGCUGGGGUGUCCAAGUAGCCUGUACCCAUCCGGGUUGAUCACAUUAGACAAAAACGGGCCGGUAACAAGGUGAAAUAGGUGACCACAUCCGACCCUAACACAUCAAAAUCCGUUUAUCGUGGUACCUGUUACCUGAAUUUGACAAAUAAGGUUACCGGUUAAAUUGCAUACUCUAACCUGGAAUCCCCAGUUCUAGCCUAUAUACUCACGAUGAUCCUUAGAAAGAGUAUGCUGAUAGUUUGACCGACAUUCUUUAUCUGAAUAUUAUGAGUAGAGAUAACGAAGUUAUGUAUAACUGAACCCCUUUCAUUUUAGUUUUUUCCCUUUGAUGUUUUCAUAAUUCGAAUGGUAAUAUCAUAAUGUCUAACGGGAAUUGCUGUGUUAUUGGUAAACAUACAUUGGUGAUAUAGAAGUAUCAAGUUCGAAUCUCGAAUCUAGUUACAAUGUGCCAUGGGCCCUUCCUUGUUUGUUUGGCAUGCUGUCAUGUGGACCAAACCAUUGAUCAACUGGGUUCUUUUUGGGCCUUUUCUAUUUUCAUAAUCAGACCCAAUAGCCAUAAAGAACUAUUGGGCCUGACCCAUCCCUCAUUUCAAGCCCAUCCAGCUCUUCCCCAAAUAAUAGACUGAAACACCUGUAAAUAACAGCACACCAACCGCGAACAACUGUACCAACGACACCGACGCCUCUCUUCUCUUCCGAACUAAUUGAAAGGUAAAAUAUAUAUAAUCCAUCAAAUGGGAUAAUAAAUUUCUCCAUUUCAGGAGCAAUUUCCGCGCUUCUCUCUUCCCUCUCUCUCUGUCUCUCUAGCAGGUCUUGGUCGCCUUGCUGGAAGAAAAUUCCAUUGUCUGACCGCCCUUCGUCAGAUCUCCGGCUGAUUCAGAUUCUGUUUUUCAUCCGGCUCAUUCCGUCGUCGAUUAGGUUCGUUCUCUUUUCUCAUUUCCUUGUCUGCGAUCUGGUGUUCGGUGUUCCAUUUCUAUUUGUCCAAUUCCACGUGAUCUGAUCUCCAGCUAUCUUCUGGGUGAUGUUUUGCUUCCAAUUCAGCUCAGAUGUGUCCUUGCUUAUGUUUCUGUUGAUGGGAGAUUGCCGAUUUAUCCAAACAUUGUUGCGCUAUCGUGAUUCGGAUUCGUGUAUUGUUGAUUGUUUUUUUUGGCGUAUUUUCAUUUUCGUGCGAUGCCUCAUGAUGAAUCAUCUCUUGGAUGCGUGGCAGUCUGUGUUCGUCGGAUAUAUUCUUUCUGUUGUAUGCUCUGGAUCAAUGGAUGCGAUCUUACUCUACUUUUAUUCUGCUGGGUAACGUUAUAGUCCGUUAAAACUUGAUUGGUGCUUUUCUUUUAACUAGUGGAAUGGAAUUUAGUUGAAUUUGAGUUAGGCUUACGUAAUCUACAUUGUUGGAAAAAUCAACUGUUUGUGUUCCGUGGUAGUUGCAUUUAGUUGUCUACUAAUGUUUGAAAUUUCUACAAGAGAUUGCCCAAAUUGUGAUGUUAAUUUCUUGUGUUGCAGUCAUUUUACUUUCAGGUUCUUCGCCAUUCAAUUUUCUUCAUGUCAAGUAUAAUCAAGCUGUUGAUAGUUUAUUUCUUUAUGUGAUGGUCUCUUAUGCACUAUUUGUUUCUUUUGAGAUGCCACUUAUUGUUCUCUUUGUUGCUAACUAUUCUCAUUUUGAUUGCUGAUAGAGAUUAGUCUUUAUUUCACUGUAGAUUGAAGUACAGCAAUGAAGAAGGUCUUCGACCAGACUGUUAGGGACUUGUAAGUGCCUUUUCUAUUAUCUUUUCUUCGACCAGACUGUUAGACAUGUUCUUAACAUUUUUUUGCCUAUUUACUUGUGUCUGUAGAAAGAGAGAGGUGAACAAGAAAGUGCUUAAAGUACCAGGCAUAGAGCAGAAGGUAUAUUUUAGAGUUUCCUGAAAUAUCUUGCACGGAAUAUGAUUAUCGGAAAAGCAUAUUAUUGUUUUUAUAUUAUCCACUAUACCCCUAGAAAGCUAUACCCGAAAGCUUCAGAUCUCCUGAUGAACUUGAAUCAUAUAUUGCUCGUCUUUCAAAAAGACCAUCAGAUAUUCUUCACUCAUAUCUUGCUUCAUCUUUUCCAAAAGUUCCCUCUGAAUGAGUCUUUUUUUUAGGUUCUUGAUGCUACAAGCAACGAGCCCUGGGGUCCUCAUGGAUCACUUCUUGCAGACAUCGCACAAGCUACCAGAAACUAGUAUCAUUCUACAAUCUGUCCGCUAGUGCUUUAGAUUGGAUUUGGAUACUUAAUCAGAAUAAAUUAAUUCUGUAACUGUUUGUGCAGUCAUGAAUACCAGAUGAUUAUGUCAAUUAUCUGGAAACGAAUCAAUGACACAGGCAAGAACUGGCGACAUGUCUACAAGGUUUGUGCAGCGCUGUGUAUAGUUGUUUAGGAUAUUCACAUAUGCUUGAUGCUAUCUAUCUUUGUAAAAAAUGUGAUAUUGAUAGCAACUGUCGUGCACCCGUUGGUCAUUGCUCGUUUUGUGUGGCUUAGUUUAAUUGUACAGAUUUCUCCUUGAGUAUUUUUGCUAUAUGUAGGAUGUCCGUACUUCAAAGACUUCGCUAUAAUUUUUGCUGCUUGAUUUCAUUGUGCGAUGGUCCAGCUUAUUGUCAGUAUGUUUACUCACUGCAUGUCUCUUAUGCAUCUUGUGUGGCUUGAUUUAAAUGUAAAAAUUUAGUAUUUUUGCUUGCAUUUAGUAUGUCCCACACCUAACUUCACUAUUUUUUGCUGCUUGAUUUCAUUGUAUGAUGGUACACUGUUGUUUUAGUUUGUUCAUUUACUGCAUGUGUCUUAAUCGUAUGCUUCUUAUACUGCAUGGCAAGAAAGUGCUGAAAUUCUUCUGUGUGGGUUCAGGGUUUGACUGUCUUGGAAUAUCUAGUGGCUCAUGGGUCAGAACGAGUCAUAGAUGACAUAAAAGAACAUGCUUAUCAGAUAUCGGUGAGGCUCGGUUUUUGUAUGAUUGCCAUUGCUGCAACCUUGUAAUUCCUUAAGAUUGUUGCAGCUACAUAGGGUUGUGGCAAAGUAGCUUUAUGUGUGCCUAACCAGCUGUUUUUAUGUAUAUUAGACACUGUCCGAAUUUCAGUACAUUGAUUCCAGUGGAAGAGACCAGGGUAGCAAUGUCAGGAAGAAAUCUCAAAAUCUUGUGGCUCUGGUGAAUGAUAAAGAAAGGAUUGUUGAAGUUAGACAGAAAGCUGCCGCUAACAGGGAAAGGUGGAUUAGUUUUUGAACUAAAGCUUGUCUAACGGUUUUAAAUUGCCAACAAAUUGUAUUUAAUUGACAUCGUUUCUACAUUGAAGUCCAAUAAAUUACUUGAAAUUGUUAUUUUAAUUCCAAAAAAUGCAAAUAACAAUAGUUAUUCGGAAUUAUAGCAGUCAACUUUUGACUCCAUCGUUUAUUAUUGAUUGUUGGUGGUAUGCUUCCUUUUUAUAGGUUCCGCAGUCCAUCAGCUGGUGGAAUGCAGAGGCCUGGUUCUCAUUCUGUUGGAGGAUAUGGAGAACGUUAUGAUGAUGAUCGCUACGAGGGCCGCUAUGGAAAUAGGGAUGAAGAACGGAAUGGAUAUGGAAGAGAAAGAGAAAACAAUUAUAGGGACGAUGACCGAUAUGGUAGGUAUGGCGAUUCAUAUAAUCGAGAUGGAAACAGAGAUGAAGAACGCUAUGGCCGGGAUGGAGACAGGGAUGAUGGAUACAGGGGAAGAAGUCGUAGCAAUGAUGGCUAUGGUUCGAGAGGCAGGAGUUCUGAUAGAGAUCGAGGCCAUGAUGAGGACAGCCGAUACUCAUCUCGGUAUAUUGCAACUUACUUUAUGAAGCUCUUUGUUACUUGAAUUGCUUCAAUAUGUUUUUGAUUUCCUAGUUAGCAAAUUCAAUAAUUUUGAAGAUGUGUCUCUCUUGUCCAGACUUUGAGUUUUUAGCUGAAGUGGUUUCAUUCGAUCUUUUUCAAAGAAAAAUUAGUGGCUUUGAGGGUCGUGAUAUGUGAAGACUGCACAAGGAAACUAGUAAAACAAAGCUUUUGAAGAAAGGGUACUUAGGAAAUCAGGGGCCAUAGUGAAUAUCCAUCUGAUGGCUCUAUUGGCAUAGUAUAUUCUUGUGAUGUUUUCCCACAAGCUUAGGCCUUCCUUUUUAAAUUAAAAAGCAUUAGUCACAGUGGAUAGUAGAGAUAGCUGAGUGAUGCCUUGAUUCUCUGUAGUGGUAGUUGUGCUAGAGCGAAUGAUCACUCCCAUGAUGGGAGGCAAAUGAAUAUAUAUGUUCUUUGCUUUUUCUCAUUGGUGGCCAUUAUUCGGAUUUCAUUUUUUUCCCGACUUUGCAGGCCCCUAGAGAGAAAGUUUUCUGAGCAAAAUAUUGGUGCACCUCCUAGCUAUGAAGAAGCUGUAAAUGAAGCCGCUAGCCCUGUACACAGUGAAAAGUAUUUUUCUUUGCUAACGGAGCACUUGAGCUUCUAAGUUCCAUCUAUAUUUCCGGUUUGGUUAAUUGUGAUUUGAUUUCUAUGACAGGAAUAGAGAAACUUCUGUGCCAUCUGGCCCCGUAGAUUCCUCUCCAUCAGCUCCUCAAGCUUCUUCCUCACCUGCUCCUCAGGUUUCUCAAUCUGCAAGUAAUACCUUAAAAGAACCCUCUGGUUUCAGCUCAUCUGUCUCUCCUGCCAAUCAAGAAGUAUUGGUAGAUGAAUUUGAUCCACGCAGCGCUUUUGUAGGUACAUGACGAAGUAAAUGUACAUAUAAAUCUAUCAAUUGCAUGCAAGCUGUUCUUUUGUAUAUAACUGUUGCUGUUUGUUUAUUUGCACAUUCUAGAUGUGACCAUAAACAUCAAAUUGUCCUCUUCUUUGCUACUGUUUUUCUUAGAUGAUCGAGUAACGUUCCAUAAAGGCGGUAGUUUUGGGUGCCCGGGAUGUCUGUUUUUUUAAGAUCGACAAUUUAGUAAAAGCUAAAGGUUUGUUAUGUGGUUUGGAUGGAAGUGGGUAAUCAAGCAUGUCUUCGUUGUUCUUAUUGAUUUCUUUACUCCUAGAAAAGACAAGAGAAGGUACUUUAUGUUUUGGUGUUAAGUCAUGUACUUUUUGACCACCGUGAUUGUCUAUUAUGGAAGUGGGUGUCACUUUGAAAAGCAUUAGAUGUGCUUGCUCAUAAUGUUGGCAGACAGGAGUGCCAAUAGUUUAGCUUAUCCCUAUUGAUAUGCCGAAUCUCCUUUUAGUUGAAGCUUAUGUUUGUAUGUUCUCUUGGUCCAGCUUUUCCGAUUUCCUCAGCAGCUCCAACUACCUCUACUGCUUCAGCAACUGCAAACAAUGCUGAAAUGGAUUUGCUUGGUUCUCUCUCAGAAUCAUUUGGUCCAUUAGCGAUUGUUCCAGUUUCUUCUUCAACUACUUCCUCUGAACCUAAUUCCCAGCCAAAUUACCCGGCACCCUCAUUUGCUUCAGCGCAACCUACUUUUGCCAAUCAAGUAAGCUCAUCUUGAAGCACCUUUUCAUGACAUCUUAUUGUUCUUGAUGCUUCUUGACUUUUAAGGGAUGAAGCUCAUAUUUCAUUUGACGAGUGACUAGUAAAGUUUAUACUAACUCAUUUGGAAUCGGAACACAAUUUGGUCUUGUAGGGAUUUGACGAUCCAUUUGGGGACAAUCCCUUCAAGGCUGUUCCUUCAACUAGUGUUCUCCCAGAACAACCAAACCUUUCAUUUUCUGCUGCUGCAUCCCAGAAUUCACCGAACCCAUAUGCCGAAGUGCCACAUGCACCUGUUCCAAAUACUGAAAUGGAAAGGAACUCACCCUUCGGCGACACGACCUCUAGCUUGAGUUAUUCUGCACCUGAUUUUCAGUCAACCUCAGCUACCUCCCAGUUCUUACCUCAAGAACUUUCCUCUUCAAAUCACGAAACUGAUAUACUAGCAGAUAUCCUCCCCGCUUCUGGGCCAGCACCACAGGCAGGGCUUCCAGCUCAAACUGGUCAAACCCCGUUCCCGGUUGGUAAUGCAUAUGGAAACUUCAAUUCACAGACAGGAUCUGCAGUUCCAGCAGCUCCAAACAUGGCUCCUCCAACUUCACAGUUUAGUAGUGGCAAUGGCAGUUUUCUGCCACAGGGAGAUUCCAUGGGCCCAACCUCUGGAUUUGCUACACAGUCAGGGUAUGGAGCGCCAACUGCACAUCAGAUCCCUCAUCAAAUGGCAGCUGGACCAUCAGACGCUGCUUCUUAUGGCUCUCCUGGACCAACCGCUCAGCACAACACUGUUGUCCUAGGUGGUUUCUAUGCACAAGGAGCAAGUGCUCCAUUGACUCCCCAGCCCGUUCAGUCUUUGGCUUCUCAGCCCAGCCUCUCUUCUUCAACUGGUGCACUUGUUUCUGUUUCUCAGCCGUCGAAAGACAAAUUCGAAACCAAAUCAACAGUCUGGGCUGAUACACUCAGCAGAGGGCUCGUCAAUUUGAACAUAUCAGGAUGUAAGUACUUGAAAUUUCAUUUUAAUAACUAUGAUGGAGCGUGUUCUUUAGAGGAUUUAAACUUUGUGUUUGCUUGUGCAGCUAAGACGAAUCCAUUGGCUGACAUCGGAGUUGAUUUUGAUGCAAUUAAUCGCAAAGAAAAGAGAAUGUCGAAACCAACCACCACUACGAAUGUCGCAUCUACUGUCACCAUGGGGAAAGCCAUGGGAUCUGGUUCUGGAAUUGGCCGAGCGGGUGCAACUGGCAUAAGGCCGCAACCCCCAAAUAUGAUGAUGGGUCCAGGCGCCGGCAUGGGUAUGGGCGUGGGCAUGGCUGGGGGUCCCGGCCCCGGAAUGGGUAUGGGCAUGGCUGGUUCUGGUCCCGGCAUGGGUAUGGGAGGCUACGGAAGAAUGGCUCAACCGAUGGGAAUGGGAAUGAAUGGUAUGCAAAUGAACGGAAUGGGGAAUAUGCAGCAGCCUCUAAGUGGACUGCCCCAACAAGGACCACCAAUGUCGAUGCCCGGUGGAUAUAACAAUAUGAUGAUGGGCGGAGGUGGUUACCCUCAACAGCCGUAUGGUAGAGGCUACCAGUGAAGAGAAUCGAAUUGAAUCGGCAUCACAUUUUGUUUGUACAAGACACAAGGUAAAAUGAUGGCAUGCCAUUGUGAAGUGAGUUGGAAGUGGAUGCUUCUGAUCCUCGGCGAGUACCUUGUUGGGAAGACUAAUUCAUGGGAUGCAUGUUGUGAUGGGUUUCUUUAUACGAUUUCUGUGAAUUGUAAUUCUAUUAGUUCCCCCUUUGUAUUUAAUUGAUAUUUUGUGAUUCAUAUGGUUUUGGGGGGGGAAGAUCAGUAGAGGGUGAAAUUGGUUUUGUUUUUAUAUAUAGUUUUUGGUCAGCUUUUGCCAAAUUUGUAAUACUAGAACCCGCUGGAUUUGUGCGCAUGUCAUAACUAUGGAUUUGUGGUCUGCUUCUUUCUGACUUGAACAGACUUAUCAACAUCCGAGCUCGUAAAACUAAGGUCCAUGCUCAUUUACUCGUCAUGAAUAACCCAGCUGCUAUAUAGCUCCGUGGAGGCCAAGUCUUGGAUUAAUCUGUACUCGCGGCGAAACGUCGGUGAGAAAUGUUGUUUCAUGGGACACACCAACGGCUGGGUGUAUGCAUAGUGGAUUGCCGUACACAUCUAUAGUUCUAUACGCAUACCUUGCCACACUCUAAAGUCCCAAACAAACCAUUUGAUUUCAGCACCGUGCACAUAUAUCCAAAUACUCGUAAUCAACUCCUACACACUGUACAAUGUGUUGGAAUUGUUUAGUUUGGCAAGUUGAAGACAAGGCUUGCAUCUCAGGCCUUGGUCUCCAAAAAGGUAGUCUAAUUGCAAUCUGUGGGAUUCCUGUUUGUUUUUAUUAGUGUAGAGAUACCGUGGAUACAAUCCCUGUGAUUGUGUUAGCCAUAAUUUAUUAUUACUUAAUAAUAUUGAUUUCAGCACCAUGUUAGCUUCUUUGCUGUUAGUUUCUAGCAACUAGUAUAUGCAGCCAAUUAAAGAAAUAAUGAAACUUGGUGGACAAGUUCAAAUUUAAAGAAAUGCUAUUUAAAUUGGCAUGUAUGUAUCAGGUAAUAAUCGACGACUUUAAUAGGGGAAAAUGUGAAAAAUUAAAGGGUAAACGAUGAUAGCAAGAAUCAAAUUUCUACAUAGGAUGCCGUUGGAGAACAAGAGAUCAGCUUAGCAGAGUGUUCUUUCUUUCUUUCUCCAUCCCAAAUUAAGAGAAUCAGAAGGAGGAAGAUUCAUGGAAGAACCCAGUUGAUUUCUUAGAGGAAAGAGGGAGGAGGAAGAAGAAGAAGAAGAAGAAGAAGAGGAAGAGCACGAACUUUGACCAGCUGAUUCUGUAGUUGAAUUGGUUUGAACGGAAUUUGAAGAAUCUUCGUUUCUUCUGGAAUCAGUUUCUAGUGUUUAUUAUUCUGUUGCCAAGUCAAACUUCUCGUUCCCUUUACUUUUCCUUCCCUCCCAUCCCAUUUUUACAAGUUUCUCAUUCAGUAACUACCCAUCUUCUCCAUUUCUGAUCUACUCUAUCCUUCAAAGCUUUCAUCUUUCCCUCACAAUUCGAAUUUUUUUUUAUAAUUAUAGGGUCACUGCCUUUUCUGUCGAUUUGUUCAUAUUUGCUACACUUCUUUUCUGAUUGGUCUGUGGCUAGCAAGAUCUUGGGUGUUCUUCUUCAAAGAUCAAAACUUUAAUUCUUCCUUCUGUUCAUUCUGCUUGUCAUUCAAUCUACAGAUACCCUUUUCCAUUAAAAGUCAAACCCAGAUUGGAUAGAUGGGUAAUUGCUGUGUAACCCCAUUUUCAAAGGAGAAUAAUAACAGUAAGCACACCAAGAAGAAGAGUCUGUUCUCCGGAGGUGGUCAUGGAAAUGGCGGUGGCGGCCGNNAGGGGGGGGGGCGGCCGCCACAAGCAGCAUCAGCUGAUUGUUUUGAAAGAAGCAACCGGCGGAGACAUUCACAAAAGGUACGAGCUUGGUAAGGAGUUGGGAAGGGGGGAGUUUGGGAUCACGUAUCUGUGUACGGACAAGGAGAGUGGAGCGACUUUUGCCUGCAAGUCAAUCUCCAAGAAGAAGCUGCUGACUGCUGUGGAUGUAGAAGAUGUCAGGAGGGAAGUGGCGAUCAUGAGACAUUUGCCUGUGCAUCAAAACUUUGUUACCUUGAAGGAUACUUAUGAGGACGAAGCUGCUGUGCAUUUGGUGAUGGAGUUGUGUCAAGGUGGAGAGUUGUUUGACCGGAUUAUUGCUAGAGGUCAUUACACUGAAAGAGCUGCUGCUUCCGUCCUCAAGACCAUUGUGGAAGUUGUUCAGGUAAAAAAGCUAACUUUGACUCCCAAAGCUUUGAGCUUUUGCAUUCUAAACUACUUUAACUAGGAAUUUUGAUAAUGAAAGCUAUAAAAAUCACGAUUUAACCUGAGAAAGUUAGAACCAGUAAAAGUGAUUUUGGGGUUCGAACUUUCCGGUUUGACAAGUGAGAGUGAUAAAUGAAUUUUUGAGCAUUUUCCCACUCGGAUGGGAAAGUUACAUCCCGAGAAAGUAAUUUUGGAGAGCGAAUUUUCCCGUUGCAAUCUAAAUUCCAUCCAACUUUCCAUCGGCCAAACCAAAAUGACAGAUGUAACUUGAUUUCAGUUUCAAUCCUUCCUGCAAUUUGUUGUGUUGAUGUGAAAAUCUUGGUUCGUUCCCUUUUGGAUGACAGAUGUGUCAUACACAUGGAGUAAUGCAUAGAGAUCUAAAGCCUGAGAACUUUUUGUUUGCCAAUAAAAAGGAGACUGCGCCUCUCAAGGCCAUUGACUUUGGACUGUCAGUAUUUUUCAAGCCUGGUAAUGUUUUACUGGUGACUUCUUUGCUUUGCAGUUACUGAUGUUUUAUAGUUCCUUAACUGAUUUUCCUUCUUCCAGGUGAAACAUACACUGAGAUUGUGGGAAGUCCAUAUUACAUGGCUCCUGAAGUGUUGAAACGGAACUACGGCCCUGAAAUCGACGUCUGGAGUGCUGGUGUUAUACUUUACAUCUUACUUUGUGGCGUUCCACCCUUUUGGGCAGGUUAGUACCUUUGUAUGAUUCAGGUUAAUACAACCAUUAAAGGUUGUAGCUUGAUGCUCAACUUUCUUCUUGAACUAGGAAACUGUAACUUGUACGCUAAGUUUUUUAGAUUCUCUGUUGCCUCCCCUAUGCAGAAACUGAACAAGGAGUUGCACGAGCAAUCAUUCGAUCCAAUUUAGAUUUCAAGAGAGAUCCGUGGCCUAAAGUUUCCGACAAUGCAAAAGACCUUGUGAAAAAGAUGCUCAACCCUGAUCCCAAACGACGCCUCACCGCCCAGGAAGUACUAGGUUGGUUGGUUUCCUCUUCCGGAACUAGUGCUUCUUACGUGUUUUCGUUCUAAUUUUGGACAUUGUUUCUUUGUAAUGCAGAUCAUCCUUGGCUGCAAAACUCGAGCAGUGCUCCGAAUGUGUCCUUGGGGGAUGCAGUAAAAGCAAGGCUCAAGCAAUUCUCUGCAAUGAACAAGCUCAAGAAAAGAGCUUUAAGGGUACAUUGAUAUGUUUGCAUCAACAAUCUGAGAAGUUAUGUAAUGCUGAUGUUUUUGUAUGGCGUUUCCCAACUGUUUUUGUUAAUGUUAACAGGUGAUCGCUGAGCGCUUGUCAGUGGAGGAAGCUGCCAGCAUCAAGGACGGUUUCCAGCUGAUUGAUGCUAGAAACAUCGGGAAAGUUAACAUCGACGAUCUGCGUAUUGGCUUACAGAAGUUAGGCCAUCAAGUCACUGAGGCUGAUAUUCAUAGCCUAAUGGAAGCUGUAAGUGACAUUCGUUAUUACUUUUUUCUGUAACAUAGUUUCAUCACCGAAGAUGAGUCGAUUUGCUGAGAUAAAGUGACUGAAAAAUGAAGCCUUUUCCAUUCACAGGGUGAUGUUGAUGGGGAUGGAUAUCUGGACUAUGGAGAGUUUGUGACCAUUUCUGUUCACCUAAGGAAGAUAGGGAACGAUGACCACAUUCGCAAAGCUUUCGAGUACUUUGACCAAAACCAAACCGGGCACAUCGAAAUCGAAGAGCUGCGUGAAGCUUUGGCAGACGAUGUCGAUGCACAGGGCGAAGAAAUUAUCAGCGCCAUUAAAACAGAUGUUGACACGGACAAGGUUAGUAAUAUAAGUAUACCAUCACGACUUGUAAUUGUAUUCUCUGAUUAUGUACUUAGUUAUAACCCCAUUCUUACCGUGUAGUUGUUGCCAUGUCUGAUUUCCAGGAUGGAAAAAUAAGCUACGAGGAGUUUGCAGCGAUGAUGAAAGCCGGUACUGAUUGGAGGAAGGCAUCAAGGCAGUAUUCGAGAGAACGGUUCAGCAAUCUUAGUAUGACACUAAUGGAGGACGGAUCUUUGUGGGGGGGCAAAGAUUAAUGUAACGAACCAUAACGGGACCGGCCCCGAAUUCUUUUUGAAGUUCAUUCUUUCCUAAAGCUAUAUAUAGAGACUUUCUGGGUGAGAUCUGUUUACUUGAGUGAAUCUUAUAUGCGUUUUUUUCUUUCUAUUUUCUUGGCGUGGAAGGCAACUAGAAAGUGGCUGUAAAUACUACAUACUAAAUAGUAUUACUUUGAAAUUUGAACGAUACUGCAAUUUUCGCUGUACAGUUAAGACUGUAUUUUGGGGAAUUAAACCUUUAAUUUAUUGAGAAGAGAAAUGAAAUAUCUAUCAUUCUUAAAGAAAGAUACACAAAGCUACCGUAAGACAAAUCUUUUCUGGGCAGCAUAACCAUUUCCCUCUCAGGGACUCGGUUCAUAACUUGGCCUCCUAAGAUAUCCUUUUCUUUCAGAUAGCUUUUACUUCAGGGCCUCCAUUUUCUAUACUUGUAUUCAGCUCCCAGAACUUCCCGAGCCAAACACAAAAGCUGAACCUUUGUCAUUUUCAUCACAGAUUUAGGAUUAGGACAGACACAAGAACCAACCAAAUAACUAUAUUUUCAGCUAACUGAAGAGAGACGGAGAAGCAGGCUAAAAUUAUAUCUAGUUCCAUAUCAACUAAUGCAGGCUAAUGGUGAUUCACAUUAGUUGGCAUAUGUAAAGCAAAUGCUCGCUCUACCUGGCAUCAAGGAGGAGAUGUCUUUCCCAUUUUAGGCAGCAGACAGCUAAAAAGUUCACUCUAGGAAGACUUGAAUUCUGUCGCCCACCGUGUCUUUGAAAUCCAACAGCAGCUUGCCUCCUGCUUCACCGGCCGCCUCAUCCAAUAGUUCUUUGAUGUUGACACCUCCCAAAGCUGUUUCAUGUAGACAUAUUAGUAAAAAUUACUCAUUUACGUUUUAACUUUAGCAAGAUUUCAGCAGACUAUUAGUAAUGUUAUCUCAAAAUGACAGUGUGGAAUUAUACCCGGUACGAUGUUAGUUAUUCCAUCCAAGAAACCAGCCUGCAUAGCACAAGCGAACAAAUAUCAUUAUUUGGGCACACAUUCUUCGGGUGCUACAUUACUAGCCAAUGUAUCAAAUCAGUGGUGCUUUUCAAAAGAUUCUAAACAGCAGAAAUCAAAGCUACGGUAACUGGUUUAUUCGUCAUGAUGACCACUUGAUGUUGAUAAACUGUUCUUUUUUCUAACAAGAGUUCGAAUAGGAGGAAGGAUUGACGGAUGAACAUCUUAUCCAGCCAAGAUAUGUGUCAUUACUCACAUGUGGCACGAAAGAACCCAAUAUAUAGAGGAAUCUAAGAUGAAUGCUAGCAAAUAGUUGCUUCACUAGAAGAGGAAAAGAGAGACUCACAGGAAUUCUAACGUCAAGUUUCUCAAACCCAUCAUUGCCAGUUAUUUUAACCCUCAAUGUCCGCGACCAGAUUCCAGAAAAGGGACCUCUGGAACCAUCUGCACCAUAGGCAUUGUAUACAUCAGGAGUAAUCACUUCCACAACAGGCUCUUGGGGACUUUCACUUCUUUGUUCUUUAUCAUCUUGAUCCCUCCGUUGUACAGAAUAAACAUUACUGCUUGCUGAUGAAUGACAUACAGUUAUAAGAAUGAGGCAACUGUAACAUAGCAACCUUCAUUAUCUUCAUAUUUCCCGGAACACAAUUGUAAACAGGAAAAGCUUAACAAGCCAAUUAAAACAAAAUUGUGAAAGAAAAAAUAUUUCUUAUGGGUUGGAAAGUCCAAAGCCAUAAUUAUAUGGAGGGCUAACACAAGGACGAUUAGAAUACACAGUACAGAACACAAGUAUGCCCUGCAUGAAACCUGUUUUGCAGAAAAAUGUAUUAUGUUUAGCUGAAUAUCUAGGUAAGAAUCUGAGAAUGGAUCGUGGAAAUAUUAAAAUGUUAAAAUGAUCAAUGCAGAUUUCAUCAUAAAUCUGAGGAGAAUUUUCAAAACAUAUUUUGCAGAUGUUUCUUCUUAACUGAGAUUUCAAUUCUCACCAACCUGGCUGCCUGGAAACUGAGCUGCUGCUAGUAGCAUACCGCUUCUCUUCUUCAUAGUAAGCAUUGAACCCUAAGGUUUCCUUUAUUUCCUCAAAUGAAGGCAUACUUCCAGGAGGAGGAAUCCGGCCUCCCUUAAUGGCAGUAAGUGCAUCCUGCGGAAAAAGAAAAACUUGGUUUCGAACUGUAUAAUUCACAUUGUCACCUUAGUUUAAACCUUGCAUUUUGUAGAGAAUCUUACAGAUUAGCUAAGUAACCUAGUAUACGUCCCCUAUUUAGUUGUAUUAUGUAUUAUUAGGUAAUUACCUCCUAAUAGGAUUCCUAGAGUAGGUAAGUCUCAUAUGGAGACUUGUGUAUAUAACCCCUAUUGCCUACGGGCCUUCCAAUAACAAGAGUAGAACAUAAUUCUCUCAAAUCUACAUGGUAUCAGAGCCUUCUCUGUACCUUAAACCCUAACGUCUUCCGCUGUCGCUACUUCCGAUCGAAGCCAUGACGAGUGAAGGAACCAUAUUUGUGAGCACAGGAGUUGCUGCUACUGGAAAUAACCAGAGCACAAUGGCACCAGUGAUGAACACGGAUUACUCAGGAUUCCUGAUUACGCACAAACUCGAUGGAAAGAAUUAUCUCAAAUGGUCUAAGACAAUUGAGAUGCACAUCAAAGGAAGAAGAAAAGGAGGGUAUUUGACUGGCGCAAUCAAAGCACCAGAAAGCACUAAUCCUCAAUUCCAAACCUGGGAUGAGCACGAUAACCUAGUCAAGACCUGGUUGAUCAAUUAUAUGAAGCCAAAUAUCGGGGAGAACUACAUCCUUCACCCGACUGCCAAGGCUAUCUGGGAUGCAGCCAGAAAGACUUACUCAACUGUUGACAAUUCGUCUGCUAUGUUCAAAAUCGAACAACAGCUCUUCCACCUUCAUCGGGGGGAGAUGGAUGUCACAGAAUACUACAAUCAGCUGGGACACCAUUGGCUUCAUCUAGAUAACUAUGAAGCUCAAGACUGGGAUACUCCCGGUGAUCAGGAGAAAUUCCGUUAGUAUAUUGAAAAGAAAAGGACCCUGGCAUUCCUUUUGGGAUUAAACCAGAACCUUGAUGGAAUUAAGAGUCGCGUUAUGAGCACUAAGCCCUUCCCUACUCUCGAAGAGGUUUUGCAGAGAUCCUAGGUGAGGAAUACCGUCGGGAUCUCAUGGUGACAUCAAAUAAUGCGAACAACAACACUCCUCUUCCAGCUGAAGGCUCAGCUCUGGCUGUUCCUGGCUGGAAAAAUUCUUCAAGCUCAUGGUCCAGAAUCAGCCAUCCUCACAAAAUCAGCCAGAAAGCUUCUCUAGUCAUUUUGCUAGUCAAGGUAAAUCCUCUUAUGCCUACUCGGUUCAAUCUAAACCUUGUGCAAAAUGGAUAAUAGAUUCAGGCUAUUCGGAUCACAUGACUGGUUCUAAGGAAGUGUGAACCGAAUUUCAAUCCUAUCCUAAGAAGGCAGGGGUACGUAUAGCUGAUGGUAGCCUCUCAGCAGUUGAAGCAAUAGGCAGAGUUCGGAUUAACCAAAACAUAGAGUUAUUUCCAGUACUUUAUGUACCAAAGUUAAAUUGCAACCUAAUCUCUAUAAGUCAGAUCACUAGAGACCUAAAGUGUGAAGCCCUAUUCAGUUCUAAUCGUUAUUCCCUGCAGGAGGAAGGCUCCGGGAAGACGAUUGGAACUGCUAACCUUCAUGAAGACCUAUUUAUCAUGAAUGAAGUCAGGAGGGAGGCAGCAGAUGAAGGACUAAGUCGUGCUUUAGCUACUAGCAUUCUGAAUAGAGAUGAUAGCCAAAUUAUGUUAUGACAUAUUCGGUUAGGACAUCCUAGUUUUGGAUAUUUACAGAGAUUGUUACCUAAAUUAUUUCUCAAUAAAAGCUUUAAGGAUUUACAAUGCGAUGAGUGUCAACUGGCACAACACACCCGUGCUAGUUACCCUGGGCUGCAGUACAAACCUACACAGCCAUUGCUAUUAUGCACCGCGUCUAUUAUUCACAGUGACAUUUGGGGACCAACGAGAGUAAAAACAUCAACGGGGCCAGAUGGUUCAUCACAUUCAUAGAUGACCAUACUAGCUCACUUGGACAUUCCUCAUGAAAGCAAAAUCUGAGACAACAACAGUAUUUCAAGGGUUCUAUGACAUGAUUCUCACUCAGUUUGACACAAAGAUACAAGUCCUAAAAACUGACAAUGCUCAUGAUUAUUUCAACUCAGAACUAGGCACCUAUCUCUCUCAAUGAGGAGUCAUACACUGCAGUUCUUGUGUGGAUACCCCACAGCUGAACGGUAUUGCAGAAGCAAGAACCGGCACCUCCUUGAGACUGCUAGGGCACUUAUGUUCACUAAACAUGUGCCGAAACACUUAUGGGGAGACGCUGUCCUGACAGCUACCUACCUAAUCAACAGACUACCGUGUCGAGUCUUAAAAUACCAGACCCCCAAGGAUGUGCGGGUGCAGACAUAUCCACAUUUGCAAGCUUAUAUGUCAGCUAUGGACCCGAAGGUAUUCGGGUGCCUUGCGUUUGUCCACAUUCAACAGCACCAACGGACCAAACUUGAUCCGCGUGCACAAAAAUGUGUGUUCAUUGGAUAUGCACCUCGCCAACACGGCUACAAGUGUUAUUCUCCAUCCACUAAUAAGGUUUUCACCACCAUGGAUGUAACCUUCUUUGAGACCUCCGGAUAUUAUGGAAAUCCAAAGCUUCAGGGGGAGAGAGUGGUAGGAGAAGAAACUCUGGAUAUGCUAAUUCCUAUGGAGGUUGAACCAGUAAUGCCUCAGGUUUUGGUUUCCUUACCAAGUUCUCCACCUGAACCUGAGGAGAGACAACAACCUGCCAUUCAACACGUGUACCAACGAAGGAGAAGAACAGCUCCUGAGAACUCUGAGGAGAUUACAACUACAGAAAGCCUUGCUGAUGUGGAAGAUACAGUUGAGAUGUGGAAGAUACAGCUGAACCAGAACUGCCCCUACAAUCAGAAAAUGAAGAAACCGUAGUUGAGGAAGUGUAUCAGCCUGACGACUAUGACCUAUACUUGCCAAUAUCAAUGAGGAAAGGCAUUCGGGAAUCCACUCGUCAUCCUAUUCAAAGGUAUGUCAAUUAUGGACGUCUUAGUCCGGAAUUUCGAGCCUUUACCACUCACUUGGAUACUAAACCAAGGACCAUUGAGAAGGCAAUGCGAAUACCUGAAUGGAGACAGGUUGUUCUUGAUGAAAUUGCAGCCCUAGAAAGUAAUGGCACAUGGAGAAUAGUCAACUUACCUCAUGGGAAACAAACCGUUGACUAUAAGUGGAUAUUCACUAUCAAAUAUAAAGCAGAUAGUAGUGUAGAAAGGUAUAAGGCGCGACUUGUAGCUCGUGGCUUCACUCAAUCCUACGGAAUUGAUUAUCAGGAAACAUUUGCCCCUGUGGCAAAACUGAACACGGUGAGGAUCCUACUAUCUAUUGGCGCCAAUAAGGAUUGGCCUCUAUACCAGAUGGCUUUCAAGAACACCUUCUUCAAUGGAACCUUGACUGAAGAACUAUAUAUGACCAUUCCAAAAGGUGUUACCAGAGAUGGAAGAGCUGUGUGCAAACUGGAAAAAUCCUUGUACGGAUUAAAGCAGUCUACUCGUGCUUGAUUUGGAAAAUUCUCAAGCACGGUGAUUUCAAAUGGUUAUCACCAAUGUCAAACAAACGACACAAUGUUUGUCAAACACAGUGCUGGAAACAGAAGUGCUAUCCUUAUCGUCUAUGUCCAUGAUAUAAUAAUCACAGGCAAUGACGAAGAAGAGAUUGGAAAAUUGAAGGCCAAGCUGGGAAUGGAGUUCAACCUAAAGGACUUGGGGGGAAUGAAGUAUUUUCUGAGAAUGGAAGUGGCCAGAUUAGGUGCAGGAAUCUCCAUUUCCCAAAGGAAAUACGUCUUGGACCUUCUAGAUGAGACAGGUAUGAUAGGCUGCAAACCAGCUGACACACCUAUGCAACAAAACCUCCAGUUUAGCACAGAAACUACAGGGAGGCUAACAGAUAAGGGGAGAUAUCAGAAGUUAGUUGGUAAACUGAUAUACCUCUCACACACGACCUGAUAUUACAUUUGCAGUGAGUGUGGUGAGUCAGUUCAUGAACGAACCCACUGAAGAGCAUAUGGAGGCAGUAACCCGCAUCCUAAAAUAUCUGAAGAAAACUUCAGGACUCAGGUUAUUAUUCAAGAAAACUGAUAACAGAUCAGUGGAAAUGUUCACUGAUGCUAGCUGGGCAAGUGAAAUUACUUCACGAAAGUCAACUACAGGUUACUGUUCAUACGUUUGGGGAAACCUAGUUAUAUGGAAGAGUAAGAAGCAGUUCGUGGUAGCCCGAAGUAGUGCAGAAGCUGAAUAUAGAGCACUGGCUCUUGGAAUUCAAGAGGCAACGUGGAUACAAUGAGUCCUUAACGAACUCGAUCUUCCAGGACAAGGAAAAGCAUCACUGUUCAGUGACAGUCAAUCGGCACUGAGCAUAGUCAAGAAUCUUAUCCAUCACAACAGAACAAAGCAUGUCGAGAUAGACAGGCACUUCAUAACAAAAAAGGUUGAAACUGGAAUAGUGGAAGUCAGCUAUGUUCCUUUCAAGCAACAAACAGCUGAUGUUCUCACAAAGGCUCUAUCACACGAGCACCUAAAGUACUUCAAGUCCAAGCUUGGUCUUAUGAAUAUAUACACAAGCUUGGUCUUGUGAAUAUCUACACCAAGCUUGAGGGGGAGUGUAGAGAAUCCUACAGAUUAGCUAAUUAACCUAUUAUACGUCCCCUAUGUAGUUGUAUUAUGUAUUAUUAGGUAAUUACCUCAUAAUAGGAUUCUUAGAGUAGGUAAAUCUCAUAUGGAGACUUGUGUAUAUAACCCCUAUUACCUACGGGCCUUCUAAUAACAAGAGUAGAACAUUAUUCCCUCAAAUCUACACAUUUCAAGUUUCUCAAAAUUUUAUGAAGCUCGAAGAUUUAUGAAAUCUGAGCACCAUUGGAUUCCAGACACGACCAGAGGUAUUAUUAUGAUAUUAUCAAUGGCAAUGCACCAAGUACAACUCUCAGAUUGACCUAUGAUUCUUAAUAUCCUUCUUAGGUAUACUCUAGGGGAACUAAUAAGCAAUCCUAUUUAGAUCAUAAAAAUGUCAGAACUGACAACUUUAGUAUAUCAUUAUGUGUACUUGAACCAUUAGGGAGAGAAUAUGACCUGCAUUGCUUGCAUGGAGACUCCAAUCAAGGAAAGUGGAUACGCCACAAGCUUGUAGCCAAUCUCCUCCAGCUCCAAGGGGUUGAGUAUGGGAGUUUUACCACCUCCUUCAAGCAUAUUGGCCUUCAAUAAAAGAAAUAGUUAGCCAGCAUCAACAUCAUGGUGAAGUAUCAGAAAACAAAGAUUACCUUAGAGAAUAUCUUUACGAGAGGAUCAAAUCAAUUAUCAUAUUUUCUAAUCAUCUGUUUAUGAUUCUCGAAAUCGAUAUAAGAGAAAAAGAAACAUAUAAAUAAAGAGGGAAAGCGAAGACACAUAUAAAACGGUAUUAUCCUUUCAUACAACAAUAUGCUGCUUAUACUUUCAAGUAUCAACAGAAAUAUCCUUCAUCGGUUCAUCCACAAGAAUUUCAUCACAUGCAGUAAUUUGUUAUCAUUUGUAGCAUGAUAGUUGUGAUUUGUAAACUCAAACGGGCUAAAUUUGAGAGACUGAUUCAAACACAAUAAACUGUACCAUUUUUGGAACUUGAGGAGAUACGUCACAGAAAGCUCUCAUUUCUUCAAUUGAACCUAAUGCAUCAAUGAAAAGGACAUCCGCACCAGCUUCAGCAAAAGCACUGGACCUCCAGAGUGCUUCGUCCAAGGAAAUUGCUUGACGAGAAUCAGUUCGUGCGACAAUCACUAUGUCAGAUCCAGAUUCCUGCCGCGCAUCAACAGCUGCUUUAAUCCUCAUCACUGCCUCUUCUCGCGAUACCACUUUCCUACCGUGGGUAUGGCCACAAGCUUUUGGAGACACCUUCAGGUCCAGAAACGUAUUCCAGAGACAUCCAAACAAUACAAGUUGCAGGUUAUUGAGGUUCAGUUCUGAUGUUUAAAUGUUCAUAGUUUUCACCAAAUUGUUGAUGAACACAUUUAUUGCAUAGUAAAACGACAAACCUGGUCUUCAAGAAUGAUGCCAGCAAAACCAGCUUUAAUGUAUCCCUUGACCGUCCUUUUAACACUCAUGGCAUUCCCAUAUCCAUUAUCACCAUCUCCAAUAACAGGGAUUGACACAGCUUGAGUGAUUUGCUGCCCUUGAUCCACAAUUUCCCCAUAGGAUAUGAAUCCAGUAUCAGGCAGCCCCAAUCUAGCAGCUGAUAUUGAAAACCCUGGAGUAAAAGAAACCAAAUUCAAAUGAAUCACUUGUCUGAAUCUUUGAAUUUGUAAGAAAGCAGCACAACAAGUGAAGAAAGAAACCAUGUAAACUGUUAAUAUAUUGUUGACAGUAAUAUCAAACCCCUAAUUGGAAUCAACAUUAAUUUUAAUCAUUAAUCAGUACCACUGGUAAAGCAGAAGAGAAAUCCGGAUUUCUCAACAAGCUUAGCGCUGAGAGCGUCGAAACAAGCAGGGCCUUGGUGAACCCCAGACGUAUCGAGGAUGGAUCGGAGAGUCUUUGCCGGCGAGUCAGAAGCAGAACAGAUUACUCUGGUGGCUCUUGUUAUACGUCGUUUUGUGGCGCUGAAGACAUUGUUGUUGAAGAGCAAAAGGGAGUUGCGGGGUUUGAAGUUGGAAGAAGAAGAAGAAGGGAAUGGUAAGGAGAAGGUGGGGUAUGAUGAGGAUGGUAGAGAGGAUUGGGAGAAAGAAGGAUGAGCAACAGGAAUUUGGGUUAGUGCCUUCAUUGUUGGGUGUGAUUGUGGAGACUGAAGAACCGAGCGAUCUCUUUACUGAGUAUCUGAUUUUUGUUAGCAGGAAACUGGUCGCUACCAGAUAAUUAGUUUCAAAUAUUGCAGGUUCAUACAUAUUCCCUUUUUUCCUAGAGGACCAUUUUGAAACCUUAAAAUUUUGAUCUUUUCCCUUAACGUCUGCUAACCAAAACAUGUUAUUUACUUCCUUCCCAGCUUCCGGUUUUGUAUAGCUUCUGAUGAAGAAACUUGAGUUCAGUCGAUAGCUUAUUGUAAACAUCAGAAUGUUUGCAGUAGAUGAUGAAGGUUCCUCGUUCAAGUUUUGAGUUUCCAUUUUCCUUUCAAUCUAAAGGUUAUAGCAAACCAACAAUCGUGACGAGACCCUAUACCAAUACUUCCGGAACAGAAUUCUCUGGAACCGAAACAGAACAUGCUUCAAGUUUCCGUUCUCCAAUUCUGAAUCAUCAGUUCCUCAACGGUUCGGAGUUCGGACUAUACAGUUUACAAUAAAAAUGCUAACAACCACUUAAAAAUGAAGACUAAUCAUAACCAAGGUAGAAGAUACGUAUAGGUUUCUAACGUGAAUCCACAAUGAUCUUAUUAUAUAGUUCUAAGUCAGUUGUAUAUCUUCAUUGUUUUGAGCUACUCCCUGCAGCUGUUCCUCUACUGUGACCUGCCAACCCAGCUUCCUCAUCUCGUUUGCUUCUCUCUGCAUUUCCGUCUCCCUCAUCUCCAGAUUCGUCUUCGUCUUUCUCGCCUCUGCAAAAUGGAUCAACCACGAGGGCAGUAUAUCGGCCAAUUAGACGCCAUAAACGCAUAGGUUCAUUUUUUCGGACAAAAUUGUCGAUUUCUGUAUACCUUGAGUAGAUGACCAAACCAACAGCCACGGCACCAAAUGCGAGGAAGUACAUCCAAUCGACCUGAGCAGAGAUGAUAAAGAAUUAGGUAGCUGGAAUUUCAACUCGGAUUUUUUUACUUGGAUUUUAACUUGAGUGGAGCAGAUUAGCUAACGAACCUUCUGAUGGUAUGCAAAGAUGCGAAUCAACACAGCCCACAUGUCCGACGAUAGUAAUGACAGGUUGAGCAUUGUGGACCCGUUAAUCUGCGAAUAAGAGACAUUGUACGUAAGUGAACAUACAAGGAACGAGUGGAAAGAAAAAUCAAAGGACAUAAUCCAAAUAAUACAUCCUCAGUUUAAUGACAUCCCUUAAUAAAUCAGUAUGCCUAUACUGAAUAGAGACCAGUUAAUGCAACUUAAAACUGUACCUUAAGCAGAAUAGGGACCAGAGAGUAGAACAGAAACAUCGCCAAAGAAAAGCCAACAAAUGGAAGAGCCUGAAACAAUCAAACAAUCGUACAGGAGCACUUUAGAUAAAAUUGAAAUUCAAUAGAGCAGAGCACUGGAAAUUGCUUGGGGUAGUCAGUUUGCGCAAUGGUAUGCAGACAAUAAGAGAGAUAGGGAGAGACUUCCUUACAAUCAAGUACAACCAGCAAAACAGUAGUCGAAACUCGAAAAUGUCAUGGAUUUUGAUAAAAGGAUUUCUAUAACAGAUGAGAAAAAGAAAAGAUCUUUUAACCAUAAACAGCUUCUGUAAUAUUGAGUUUUGGCAGACUUAAGCAAUCCUCCUGUAAAGAACGAAUGUUUUACUAGAGUAAACAGAAUUGAUGAUA
rnacentral:lncRNA from 1 species